rnacentral:rRNA from 1 species
UGCUGGAUGCUGACGAGCGGCGGACGGGUGAGUAAUGCAUAGGAAUCUACCCGGUAGUGGGGGAUAACCUGGGGAAACCCAGGCUAAUACCGCAUACGUCCUACGGGAGAAAGGGGGCUUUGGCUCCCGCUAUCGGAUGAGCCUAUGCCGGAUUAGCUGGUUGGUGAGGUAACGGCUCACCAAGGCGACGAUCCGUAGCUGGUCUGAGAGGAUGAUCAGCCACAUCGGGACUGAGACACGGCCCGAACUCCUACGGGAGGCAGCAGUGGGGAAUAUUGGACAAUGGGGGCAACCCUGAUCCAGCCAUGCCGCGUGUGUGAAGAAGGCCCUCGGGUUGUAAAGCACUUUCAGCGAGGAAGAACGCCUGGUGGUUAAUACCCGCCAGGAAAGACAUCACUCGCAGAAGAAGCACCGGCUAACUCCGUGCCAGCAGCCGCGGUAAUACGGAGGGUGCAAGCGUUAAUCGGAAUUACUGGGCGUAAAGCGCGCGUAGGUGGCUUGAUAAGCCGGUUGUGAAAGCCCCGGGCUCAACCUGGGAACGGCAUCCGGAACUAUCAGGCUAGAGUGCAGGAGAGGAAGGUAGAAUUCCCGGUGUAGCGGUGAAAUGCGUAGAGAUCGGGAGGAAUACCAGUGGCGAAGGCGGCCUUCUGGACUGACACUGACACUGAGGUGCGAAAGCGUGGGUAGCAAACAGGAUUAGAUACCCUGGUAGUCCACGCCGUAAACGAUGUCGACCAGCCGUUGGGUGCCUAGCGCACUUUGUGGCGAAGUUAACGCGAUAAGUCGACCGCCUGGGGAGUACGGCCGCAAGGUUAAAACUCAAAUGAAUUGACGGGGGCCCGCACAAGCGGUGGAGCAUGUGGUUUAAUUCGAUGCAACGCGAAGAACCUUACCUACCCUUGACAUCCUGCGAA